ACCACUGAGCCACCUUCCCAGCCCCAGUAAAGUUUUUAACGUUUAUUAAAAAUAGGAAUAUUUGGGCUGGGAAGGUGGCUCAGUGGU
rfam:Dipodomys ordii contig_22752, whole genome shotgun sequence.